AAAGCUGGGAAGACAUCCUUUCUCUUGGGGAACAACAGAGAUCCGGCAUUUGCUUCAAAUGUUGAAGAGCACCAUUACCUGCAUGCACAUGAUCAUCACGGUUAUUACAUCAUCACAGCUAAUGCCUGUGACUGCUGUGUCAUGAUCAAGAAUUUAACAGUAGACUUGGAGCUAUACAUGGUACAAAGUCUUUCAAGAACCC